rnacentral:rRNA from 1 species
UAGGGAAUCUUCGGCAAUGGACGAAAGUCUGACCGAGCAACGCCGCGUGAGUGAAGAAGGUUUUCGGAUCGUAAAACUCUGUUGUUAGAGAAGAACAAGGACGUUAGUAACUGAACGUCCCCUGACGGUAUCUAACCAGAAAGCCACGGCUAACUACGUGCCAGCAGCCGCGGUAAUACGUAGGUGGCAAGCGUUGUCCGUAUUUAUUGGGCGUAAAGCGGGCGCCGGCGGUUUCUUAAGUCUGAUGUGAAAGCCCCCGGCUCAACCGGGGAGGGUCAUUGGAAACUGGGGGACUUGAGUGCAGAAGAGGAGGGUGGAAUUCCAUGUGUAGCGGUGAAAUGCGUAGAUAUAUGGAGGAACACCAGUGGCGAAGGAGGCUCUCUGGUCUGUAGCUGACGCUGAGGCUCGAAAGCGUGGGGAGCAAACAGG